rnacentral:rRNA from 1 species
UACGUAGGGCGCAAGCGUUGUCCGGAAUUAUUGGGCGUAAAGAGCUCGUAGGUGGCUUGUCACGUCGGGUGUGAAAGCUUGGGGCUUAACUCCAGGUCUGCAUUCGAUACGGGCUGGCUAGAGGUAGGUAGGGGAGAACGGAAUUCCUGGCGUAGCGGUGAAAUGCGCAGAUAUCAGGAGGAACACCGGUGGCGAAGGCGGUUCUCUGGGCCUUACCUGACGCUGAGGAGCGAAAGCGUGGGGAGCGAACGGG